GAGGGGACACCGCGCAUCCUCACGAGCUCGGACUGAAGGAGGACACACGUUUAGGCCAUCCUGCUCAUUCUUAAGGCGCGUGAGCCUGGAGGAAACACCCUCCUGAUCACGGAUACAAACACACACACUUAAAGCAAGGAUACCUCAUGCAACCACAGCACCCCGCGGACACCCAGGCUCGAGGAGGACAGUGUGGGAUUUAUCGAUCCGAUCCACGCGCGCUCACCUGUUUGUCAUGCACGUGUCCUCGUGCAUAUCUGGAGCCAGAAUGAUGCUACAGAGUGUCCUUAAAUGUGGAUGCUUUCAGUCUCCGUGGGUGCAGGAGGCGUGUAGCACGAUGUCAAAGAAUCUUCAGACUUACCUCUGUCAAAGCAAACACUGGAGCCUGUUCCUGUCUUUGGUUAUCUAGCUGUAUGAGUGUUAACCAUCCAUCAUAAAGCUAGAUAACCGAAAGUAGGAAUGAACUCCAAAAUCUUCAAACUCCUGAUUGUGCAUGGAAGAGACAGACACCAGAGGAUGGGACACCUUAACAGAAAAGGAGCAUCACAACGCUGAUGCUGCAGUUCCUUGGUGGAUCUUCGGAGUGUGUCAUCAGUGUUUUCAUCACAUGGAUUUAUGUGUUUAUGCCUCUGUUGAGAGAAGCUGCAGCAGAGAAAAAUACCCCUGCAACAUGUAUGGACUGCAGAUGCAACUGCACAGAGUUAUAACCAGGGUGGACAGUUAGAGAAACACCCUGAGUACUGAUACAAAACCUUUUUUCAUUUAAGAGAAGAUUAAAAGGAGAUACAUUUUAAUUUAUAAUGAGUGACAUUUGUUUUAUA